rnacentral:rRNA from 1 species
UACAGAGGGUGCAAGCGUUAAUCGGAAUUACUGGGCGUAAAGCGCGCGUAGGUGGUUCGUUAAGUUGGAUGUGAAAUCCCCGGGCUCAACCUGGGAACUGCAUUCAAAACUGUCGAGCUAGAGUAUGGUAGAGGGUGGUGGAAUUUCCUGUGUAGCGGUGAAAUGCGUAGAUAUAGGAAGGAACACCAGUGGCGAAGGCGACCACCUGGACUGAUACUGACGCUGAGGCACGAAAGCGUGGGGAGCAAACAGG